GUUGUAUGGUUAAGUGACUAAGCGUACACGGUGGAUGCCUUGGCAGUUGGAGGCGAUGAAGGACGUACUAACUUGCGAUAAGCCUAGUUGAGCCAGUAAGAGGCGCUUGAGACUAGGAUUUCCGAAUGGGGAAACCCGGCCCUUUGGGUCAUCAUGCAGUGAAUACAUAGCUGUAUGAAGCGAACGCGGAGAACUGAAACAUCUAAGUACCGUAGGAAAAGAAAUCAACCGAGAUUCCGAAAGUAGCGGCGAGCGAAAUCGGAUUAGCCCUUAAGCUUUAAUGUAGUUAGUGGAACAUUCUGGAAAGUAUGACGAUACAGGGUGACAGUCCCGUACACGACAACUUAUUUAAAGUGAAAUCGAGUAGGUCGGAGCACGUGAAACUUGACUGAAUAUGGGGGGACCAUCCUCCAAGGCUAAAUACUCCAACUGACCGAUAGUGAACCAGUACCGUGAGGGAAAGGCGAAAAGAACCCCUGUGAGGGAGUGAAAUAGAACCUGAAACCGUGUACGUACAAGCAGUAGGAGCCUUCGAGGGUGACUGCGUACCUUUUGUAUAAUGGGUCAGCGACUUAUAUUCUGUAGCAAGGUUAACCAUUUAGGGAGCCGUAGCGAAAGCGAGUCUUAACUGGGCGCUUAAGUUGCAGGGUAUAGACCCGAAACCCGGUGAUCUAGCCAUGGGCAGGUUGAAGGUCAGGUAACACUGACUGGAGACCGAACCCACUAACGUUGAAAAGUUAGGGGAUGACCUGUGGCUAGGAGUGAAAGGCUAAUCAAACCGGGAGAUAGCUGGUUCUCCCCGAAAUCUAUUAGGUAGAGCCUCGGACGAAUACUUACGGGGGUAGAGCACUGUUAAGGCUAGGGGUCAUCCCGACUUACAACCCUUUGCAAACUCCGAAUACCGUAAAGUACUAUCCGGGAGACACACGGUGGGUGCUAACGUCCAUCGUGGAGAGGGAAACAACCAGACCGUCAGCUAAGGUCCCAAAGUGUAUGUUAAGUGGGAAACGAUGUGGGAAGGCUAAAACAGCUAGGAGGUUGGCUUAGAAGCAGCCAUCCUUUAAAGAAAGCGUAAUAGCUCACUAGUCGAGUCGGCCUGCGCGGAAGAUGUAACGGGGCUAAACAUACCACCGAAGCUACGGCUGCGAACUUAGUUCGCGGGGUAGGGGAGCGUUCUGUAAGUGGCUGAAGGUGUGCCGGGAGGCAUGCUGGACAUAUCAGAAGUGCGAAUGCUGACAUGAGUAACGAUAAUGCGGGUGAAAAACCCGCACGCCGGAAGACCAAGGGUUCCUAUCCCAUGUUAAUCAGGGUAGGGUGAGUCGACCCCUAAGGCGAGGCUGAAGAGCGUAGUCGAUGGGAAACGGGUUAAUAUUCCCGUACUUGGUAUAAAUGCGAUGGGGGACGGAGCAGGCUAGGCAAGCAUGGCGUUGGUUGUCCAUGUGAAAGGCUGUAGGCUGGUGACUUAGGAAAAUCCGGGUCGCUAAGGCUGAGAGUCGAGACGAGCCACUACGGUGGUGAAGUUGUUGAUGCCCUACUUCCAGGAAAAGCCUCUAAGCUUCAGUUUAUAUCGAAUCGUACCCUAAACCGACACAGGUGGUCAGGUAGAGAAUACUAAGGCGCUGAGAGAACUCGGGUGAAGGAACUAGGCAAAAUUGUACCGUAACUUCGGGAGAAGGUACGCUCUUACUUGUGAAGACUUCGCGUCGUAAGCAGGCGAGAGCCGCAGUGACCAGGUGGCUGGGACUGUUUAUUAAAAACACAGCACUGUGCAAAAUCGUAAGAUGACGUAUACGGUGUGACACCUGCCCGGUGCCGGAAGGUUAAUUGAUGGGGUUAGCUUAGGCGAAGCUCUUGAUCGAAGCCCCGGUAAACGGCGGCCGUAACUAUAACGGUCCUAAGGUAGCGAAAUUCCUUGUCGGGUAAGUUCCGACCUGCACGAAUGGUGUAACCAUGGCCACGCUGUCUCCACCCGAGACUCAGUGAAAUUGAAAUCGCAGUGAAGAUGCUGUGUACCCGCGGCUAGACGGAAAGACCCCGUGAACCUUUACUACAGCUUGGCACUGAACAUUGACCCUACAUGUGUAGGAUAGGUGGGAGGCUUUGAAGCGCAGUCGCUAGAUUGCGUGGAGCCGUCCUUGAAAUACCACCCUUGUAGUGUUGAUGUUCUAACUUAGGCCCCUAAUCGGGGUUGAGGACAGUGCCUGGUGGGUAGUUUGACUGGGGCGGUCUCCUCCCAAAGAGUAACGGAGGAGCACGAAGGUUGGCUAAGUACGGUCGGACAUCGUACGGUUAGUGUAAUGGUAGAAGCCAGCUUAACUGCGAGACAGACACGUCGAGCAGGUACGAAAGUAGGUCAUAGUGAUCCGGUGGUUCUGAAUGGAAGGGCCAUCGCUCAACGGAUAAAAGGUACUCCGGGGAUAACAGGCUGAUACCGCCCAAGAGUUCAUAUCGACGGCGGUGUUUGGCACCUCGAUGUCGGCUCAUCACAUCCUGGGGCUGAAGUCGGUCCCAAGGGUAUGGCUGUUCGCCAUUUAAAGUGGUACGCGAGCUGGGUUUAGAACGUCGUGAGACAGUUCGGUCCCUAUCUGCCGUGGGCGUUUGAGAAUUGAGAGGGGCUGCUCCUAGUACGAGAGGACCGGAGUGGACGAACCGCUGGUGUUCGGGUUGUCAUGCCAAUGGCAUUGCCCGGUAGCUACGUUCGGAAUCGAUAACCGCUGAAAGCAUCUAAGCGGGAAGCGAGCCUCGAGAUGAGUUCUCACUUUAACUUUAAGUUAACUGAAGGGCCGUUGAAGACUACAACGUUGAUAGGCGAGAUGUGGAAGUGGUGUGAGCCAUUGAGCUAACUCGUACUAAUUACCCGUGAGGCUUAACCAUACAACGCCAAAGUGGUUU
rnacentral:rRNA from 1 species